UACAGGGGGGGCGAGCGUUGUUCGGAAUUACUGGGCGUAAAGGGUUUGUAGGUGGCUUGUUAAGUCAGACGUGAAAUCCCUCAGCUUAACUGGGGAACUGCGUCUGAUACUGGAUGGCUUGAGUUUGGGAGAGGGAUGCGGAAUUCCAGGUGUAGCGGUGAAAUGCGUAGAUAUCUGGAGGAACACCGGUGGCGAAGGCGGCAUCCUGGACCAACACUGACGCUGAGGAGCGAAAGCCAGGGGAGCAAACGGG
rnacentral:rRNA from 1 species